rnacentral:misc_RNA from 1 species
UCCUUCAAGGCCUUGACAGAAACCGAAGAAAAUGGUUUCUGAGCUAGAUGGUACUUUAUGAUCCAUGAUCUGUAGCUGCUUCCUUGUUUGAUUUGCCUUGGACAAGGGAUUAAAGAGCAAUAGACAUUUAACCUGAGCAUUUAUUUAACAGUUGAAUUAUAACUUGCUGCAACAGCAACCGAAUGCAUACCAAAUUUCCCAGCUAUGAGUUUCUGGUCGAGACUUGGAGUUCUCUAGUUGAUCUGAUGGCUGCGUCUUUGUCUGUGACCAUGUAUUUACGUGGAGGAAAACAAUGGAUACAUCGUUCUAUUUAUUUCUUAGAAGGAGAGGAUUCUUAAG